CGCCAGCAGCCGCGGUAAUACGGAGGGUGCAAGCGUUAAUCGGAAUUACUGGGCGUAAAGCGUGCGUAGGCGGUUCGUUAAGUCAGAUGUGAAAGCCCCGGGCUUAACCUGGGAAUGGCAUUUGAAACUGGCGGACUUGAGUUGAGUAGAGGGGAGUGGAAUUUCAGGUGUAGCGGUGAAAUGCGUAGAUAUCUGAAGGAACACCAGUGGCGAAGGCGACUCCCUGGACUCAAACUGACGCUGAGGUACGAAAGCGUGGGUAGCAAACAGGAUUAGAUACCCUGGUAGUCCACGCCGUAAACGAUGUCAACUAGCCGUUGGUCCUAUAUACGGGAUUAGUGGCGCAGCUAACGCAUUAAGUUGACCGCCUGGGGAGUACGGCCGCAAGGUUAAAACUUAAAUAAAUUGACGGU
rnacentral:rRNA from 1 species